AUCUGGCUGGCUCAGUCGGUAGAGUAUGUGACUCUUGAUCUCAAGGUCGUGAGUUUGAGCCCCAUGUUGGGCA
rnacentral:tRNA from 1 species